UUACAGCCGGGCCCAGGGGCCAGCGAGGUCACUGGGACAUGCUGACAGUUGACAACUGUUCUGGACACAAGGGGCUGGAGGGAAUCUGAUCCAGGCUGGGAGAGAGGAGGAAGGAAACCACAGCAGGGCUGGGCAGGCCCUGUCCGCUAGCCAAGGGCUACCUGCAAGGUUUUUCUUUUCUUUUAAUUUUAAUUAACUACUACUAUUUUCUAAAAUUCAUUUUGCAGGUGCUGACCAUGGAACCCAGGGCCUGGCGCAUGCGUGAUGGAUCUGGUCCGGCUGAGCUGCCUCCCCCAGCCCCUUGAACUUGGGUAUGUUUUUGUCUACGCCUGGGCUGCAGGUUGGGCGUGAUCCAGGCACGUUCCUUCCCAGCCAGUGCUGGACUUGAUACGGAGCAGGACCUGUCAGGGGCUGACCGAGAAUGGCAUCACUCUGGUUUAUUGAAUAUUAAGACCUAUUAAACCUGGCUUAAAAAUCUCAGUACGGGUGCACGCCUGUCAUUCUAGCGGCUCAGGAGGCUGAGGCAGGAGGAUCGCAAGGUGGAGGCCAGCCUCAGCAACUUAGUGAGGCCCUAAGCAACUCAGCGAGACCCUGUCUCUAAAUAAAAUACAAAAUAGGGCUGGGUACGGGGCUCAGGGGUUCAGUGCCCCUGAGUUCAAUCCCCUAACACCCCCCAAAGAAAAUACAAUUCCCAAUUUUAUAGAUGGAGACAUGUAUAGACAUUUUUUUUUACCUUUUUUUGGAGGAAUAUAUAGUAUUUUUUUAAAGUUGGGAAAUAGGUUCAGCCUUUUUUUUUUUAAUGCAGGGGAUCAAAACCAGGGAUAUUUUACCACUGAGCCACAUUCCCAGUCCCUUUCUUAUUUUAUUUUAUUUUUUUAAUUCAAUGAUUUACUUAUUUUGUUACACAUGACGGCUGAAUGCAAUUCAUUUCCUAUUACACAUAUAGAUCACAAUCUUAUUUUAUUUUAUUCACCUUUUUAUUAUGGGACAGGGUCUCCCUACAUUGGUAAUUCUUAUUUUUUUUAUUUAGAGACAGGGUCUUGCUGAGUUGCUUAGAGACUUGUUAAAUUACAGAGGCUGGCCUCCAACUUGCCAUCCUCCUGCCUCAGCCUCCCAGAUUGCUGGAAUUACAGGUGUGUGCCACCGCACCUAGCAGGAUAAGCUUAUUUUGAAAUACUCUAUUAGCCGGGCACAGUGGUGCCCACCUGUCAUCCCCACAGCUCCAGAGGCUGAGGCUGGAGGAUCACAAGUUGGAGGCCAGCCUCCUCAAUUUAUCAAGGCCGUAAGCCAUUUAGUGUCCUGUCUCAAAAAUAAAUAGAUAAAAUAAAAAGGGCUGGGGAUGGGGCUCAGUGGUCAAGGGCCCCUGGGUUCAAUCCCUGGCACCAAAAAAAUUAAAAAAUAAAGCAAAUUUGUAAAGCAGAGUUCUGUGUUACCAGCCUCAUCUGCCAAAUCUCUGGCUGCCAUCGCAAAAAUAAAAAAUAAAAUAUAAAUCAAGAAAAAAAAUAAAUAAAAAAAGAGAAAGAGGCCACGUCAAGUGAUUGACAGAGGCUCUCAGUGGGAUCUAAGCAUCAACCCAUUUCUCAGAAUGUGACCCCAUUGUUUUUUUUUUUUUUUUUUUUUUUGAAGUUUUUUAGAACUUUUAUUUUAUGUACAAAGAGUGAGCAUGUUCUCCUUCACUGGAUGGCUGUCUUGGGUAAUCCAUUCAAGGAAGAUCACUUAGUCCAACUUAAUGAAGCCUAUAUCCUUCGCGUACUGACGGAAACACUGCCGGCACAUGUUGAGGCCGUAUUUCCGGAUCAGACCGUGCCGGUUUGAACACACGCGGCAAGAGCGAGAACCCUGGCCAAAUUUUCGCGGAUGGCUCCAAUAGAGCUGUUGAUGACCCAUCUUGCUUUCAAGGGUGCAACGAGGCAAAAGGCUUGACCCCAUUGUUGAUUGACGCCUGGCUCUGAUUGAUAGCAGGGGGGGGGUUGGGGGGGGAGGUUUUACGGGCAGGUCUGGACAGGAGCAAAUGGGGUGCAGGCUGCUCCCAAAAUCUGUCCGUAGGGGUCUGUUGGAGAGAGAGGGCCAGGGUGGGGUCAAGUGACCACAGGAAAUGGGCCAUUGGCCAUCACUGGGAAUCCUGGGUUUUUGUUAGUUUUUUGGUCCCAGGGAUUGAACCAGGGUGGGGCUCAACCCCUGAGCCCCAUCCCCAGCCCUUUUUAUAUUUUAUUCAGAGACAGGGUCUCACUGUAUUGCUUAGAGCCUUAGUAAAUUUUGAGGCUGGCCUCCAACCUGCGAUCCUCCUGCCUCAGCCUCCCAAGCUGCUGGGGUCACAGGUGUGCGCCACCUCGCCAGGCUGCAGAACAUUUUCUCUUUUGUUUCUUUGUUUUAUUGUUGUUGUUGUUUUGUUUUUCACUUAUAGGUCUCCUCACUUUCUCUAACAAUAAUGAGUAGCAUUUAUUGAGCACCUACUGCAUGCUAGAUCCUGUUGUAAGCGUGUUCCAUCUUAUUAGCUCACUUAGUCUUUGUGUCCCCAACUCCGGGGGAUAAGUCCCACUUUAUGCCAAUCCUGCAGCUAAGGAAACUGGCUUAAAGCUCAUGCUUUGGCUAAACUGGGGGCAUAAAGAGGGUAGAGAUCUUGCCUGUGCUGUUUGUGGCUGAUCCCCUGAAGCCCACACAGUAUGGUCCCCAAGAGGAAUCGGAUGUCUAAUUGCCAAAGAGAUCAAGAAGAAUGUAGAUGAAUUGGAUGUGGGCAAUAAGGGGAAAGAAAAUGUCCACCGUCACUCCUCCCAGCGGCCCUGGAGGCUGAGGCAGGAGGAUUGCAAGUUGGAGGCCGGCCUCGGCGACUUAGCCAGGCUGGAAGCAACCGAGUGAGACCCUGUCUCAAAAUUUCAACAAAUAAAGUAAAAUGGGGUAGGGAGGUGGCUCAGGGGUCCAGCACUCCUGGAUUUAAUCCCUGGUACCAAAAAAAUGAAUGAAUAAAAAAUAAAAAAGUUCAAUCAUUUGAAAAGGGCUGAGGACGUAGCUCCUGGGGUGCUCAGCACGCGGGGGAGAAAAUCAGUGAUGAAGGUCUCUGCAAACCGGGUGGGGUCAUUAAAAGAGGGGAACUGGCUUUGACAGAUUGGGGACAGGGUGACUCAUCUGCUUGGGGACACGCGGUGUCAAGAAGCCAGUCACUGUGUCGGUUUGGAGCACAGGUUUGGGUGGUGCGUCUUGGCUUCUUGGGUCUUGAUUUAGGCACCGGUGGUAAAUUGAGUGUAAUUGUAAUCACCCAGGGAGGGACCUUGAGGGAGGACACCCAAGGCGGAGCCAGAAGCCAUGUCAGUUGCUAAUGGGCAGCCAGAGGAAAGGACACUGUCAGAAACAGCACCCUGAGAAAGGUAAGGUGACACAGACCUGUCUUCCCAGCGGCUCAGGAGGCUGAGGCAGGAGGAUCGCAAGGUGGAGGCCAGCCUCAGCAACUUUGUGAGGCCCUAAGCAAUUCAGCGAGACCCUGUCUCUGAAUAAAAUAGCAAAAGGGGCUG
rnacentral:lncRNA from 1 species